rnacentral:lncRNA from 1 species
CUCCACAGUUGUGGCUGGUAUGGGAGCAAAGACCUCGCUGGGAGCUGAAGAAGAGAGGCCAGAGGGAGGCUAGGCCAGGGCUGGGUCUCCCCAGGCCCACUGAGCCUCUACUUCCCUGGUCCAAGCCCUGCCCACCCUCACUGGGACAAGCUGAGGGUCCCUGCUCUCUCGGAUACAGCGUGCCUGGCUCUCCAUGCCCAGGCCUCCGGCCUUCAGGAUCAAGAUUCUCAUCCACAGAAGAGGGAGCAAGAACCAGGCUUCCCCAGCUAGAGGAGGAGGAAGAGGAGGAAGAGCAGGAGGGGGAUGCGGAAGAGAGAGGAAGGAAGGAAGAGAAGGAAAUACCCCAAAUUUCUUUAUCUGUUUCCAUUUUACAUAACUCACAGAUGUUGCUGCCGUUUCACGGCCCUCUGGACACAGGAUGUUUUUUCGGUCCUUCAGAACAUGGGACUGAGAGUGGCAGUAUUUGCUUUCUUCAUCAAUGUACAUACAAUUGAGUUUUUCUUAUCUUCAUACAAUGGUUCCCAUGCUCUUUGAACCCUUUUCAAAGACUGCUAUUCAUUAUAACCCCUACGUUUUAUGUUAGCUUAAAAUAAGACUCACUAGCAUUUCACCAAGGAAGAAUUUAUGACGGAAGCCCUAAAUCAACCUGCUUUUUACAUAUAAUACACUUUGAACAUAAUUCCAGGUUAAUCAAUAUAGAUCUGCUCGAUUUUCUUUCUUUUAUAGUAAACAUUUUUAAAAUUUUUGCUAUAAGUAUAUGUUAGAUAUAACAAAAUACACAUAUACUAAGUUUGAUAAAAAUUUUACAUAUGUAUAUACUUAUUUAACCACUACCCAGAUCGACGUACUAAACAUUGCCAACACUCCAGAAGGUUCCCUCAUCUCCUUCCUAGUCAAUACCUCCUGCCCCCAUAGGCAGCUGUUCUGACUUCUGUCACCUCAGAUCAGUUUUGCCUAUUUGGAAAUUUU